rnacentral:misc_RNA from 1 species
AAGUCGUAACAAGGUAACCGUAGGUGAACCUGCGGUUGGAUCAUUAAAGAAUUUUAAAAGGGUGUUUUACUUUAUAGUAAACUCCUUUUAGCUUUAAAAAAAUUGGGUUAGUUCUUUCUCUUUGAAAGACUAACUUCAAACCUUGUGUGCAUUGUUAACUGUCUUUGGUGAGAACGAAAAAGGAUUCAUUAAAUGAAUUCUUAAUCACUCACCAAAAUUUAUUUUAAAACUUUGUUUAUUUAAAAAGUCUUGAAUUUUCAAUAUAAAAAAUUGAAAACAACUUUUGACAACGGAUCUCUUGGCUCUC